AUUGCCCCAGUAACGGCGAGUGAAGCGGCAACAGCUCAAAUUUGAAAUCUGGCCCCCCGGCCCGAGUUGUAAUUUGGAGAGGAUGCUUCUGGCGCGGCGCCGUCCGAGUUCCUUGGAACAGGACGCCACAGAGGGUGAGAGCCCCGUACGGACGGACGCCUAGCCUCUACGAAGCUCCUUCGACGAGUCGAGUAGUUUGGGAAUGCUGCUCAAAAUGGGAGGUAAAUUUCUUCUAAAGCUAAAUACCGGCCAGAGACCGAUAGCGCACAAGUAGAGUGAUCGAAAGAUGAAAAGCACUUUGAAAAGAGGGUUAAAAAGUACGUGAAAUUGUUGAAAGGGAAGCGCCUGUGACCAGACUUGCGCCCCGCGGACCACCCGGCGUUCUCGCCGGUGCACUCUGCGGUGCGCAGGCCAGCAUCGGUUCUCCCAGGGGGACAAAGGCCGCGGGAACGUAGCUCCUUCGGGAGUGUUAUAGCCCGCGGCGGCAUGCCCCUGGGGGGACCGAGGACCGCGCUUCGGCAAGGAUGC
rnacentral:rRNA from 1 species